rnacentral:rRNA from 1 species
AGAGUUUGAUUCUGGCUCAGGACGAACGCUGGCGGCGUGCCUAACACAUGCAAGUCGAACGGAAGUAUCAGCAAUGGUGCUUUAGUGGCGAACGGGUGAGUAACGUGUAGACAACCUGCCUCAAAGAUGGGGACAACACCGCGAAAGUGGUGCUAAUACCGAAUGUGUUAUCUUGGCUGCAUGGCUAAGAUAAGAAAGGUGGCCUCUUAGCAAUGCUACCGCUAUGAGAUGGGUCUGCGUCUGAUUAGCUAGUUGGUGAGGUAACGGCUCACCAAGGCGACGAUCAGUAGCCGGUCUGAGAGGAUGAACGGCACACUGGGACUGAGACACGGCCCAGACUCCUACGGGAGGCAGCAGUGGGGAAUCUUCCACAAUGGACGAAAGUCUGAUGGAGCAACGCCGCGUGAGUGAAGAAGGUCUUCGGAUUGUAAAGCUCUGUCAAUCGGGACGAAUGUGCUUAUUGUGAAGAAUGAUAAGUAAUGACGGUACCGGAGGAGGAAGCCACGGCUAACUACGUGCCAGCAGCCGCGGU